UCGGCGGCCGCGUCGGUGGCGGCGACGACGGCCUCGGAGGCGGCUUCGAUGGUCGCCUGUUCGACGCCGGCCUGCCGGA
rnacentral:tRNA from 1 species